CUGCGAACGGCUCAUUACAACAGAUAUAACUUACUUGUUCUACUCCUUUAAACGGAUAACUGCGGUAAUUCUGGAGCCAAUACGUGCUAAAAGCCGAAUUCAGCAAUGAGUUCGGUGCACUUAUCGGAGCAAAACCCUUCCUGGUUUUAUGCUAACUCUGGAUAACACUGCUUAUCGCACGACCUCGUGUCGGCGAAGUUACAUUCAAGUAUCUGCCUUAUCAACUUUCGAUGGUAGUGUAUUGGACUGCCAUGGUGUUGACGGGUAACGGAGAAUCAGGGUUCGACUCCGGAGAGGGAGCCUUAGAAACGGCUACCAUGUCUAAGGACAGCAGCAGGCGCGCAACUUAUCCACUGUUCAUUGAACGAGAUAGUGACGAGAAAUAACAAGUCCGUUCUCUAUGAGGUCGGACAUUGGAAUGGAUGGAAUCUAAACAAUUCCAUGAGUACCCACGAGAGGGCAAGUCUGGUGCCAGCAGCCGCGGUAAUUCCAGCU
rnacentral:rRNA from 1 species